UGUAGAGAUAGGGUCUCACUUUAUUGCCCAGGCUGGUCUCAAACUCCUGGUCUAGGCAACAAAGUGAGACCUUAUCUCUACAAG
ensembl:miRNA